rnacentral:tRNA from 1 species
GGCCCCUUAGCUCAGCUGGAUAGAGCACCUGCCUUCUAAGCAGGUUGUCGUAGGUUCGAUUCCUACAGGGGUCGCCA